GAUGAACGCUAGCUACAGGCUUAACACAUGCAAGUCGAGGGGCAGCAUGACGAGUGCUUGCACUUGUUGAUGGCGACCGGCGCACGGGUGCGUAACGCGUAUCGAACCUUCCCCUUACUCGGGAAUAGCCCGGUGAAAACCGAAUUAAUGCCCGAUAUGUAUUUAGAUGGCAUCAGAAGAGUAUGAAAGAUUCAUCGGUCAUGGAUGGGGAUGCGUGGGAUUAGGUAGACGGCGGGGUAACGGCCCACCGUGCCAUCGAUCCUUAGGGGUUCUGAGAGGAAGGUCCCCCACACUGGUACUGAGACACGGACCAGACUCC
rnacentral:rRNA from 1 species